UCUGUGGUAUGUGCUACUUGGUCUCACCCGGGAGCAGAGACGGUUUUGCCUUCUGCACCUCCCAAAAGCUUCUUUGAUAAGUUCUACAGAGGAAAACCAGGAGAACAAAGUAUUCUAGAAGCCAGGUGAAAAAAUCUGUAAGAAGGAAAGAGUGAACAAUCCUAUCAAAUGCAGAUAAUCAAGGAAGAUGAAGCCUGAGAAUGGAUCAUUGGAUUUAGUAACAUCUGAGUACAUGAGUAUUAUAACAGAGAGAGGAAAGAAUUUGGAGUAAUGAUAAUUCUAUUGCUUUAAUACAGCUAAGUAAUGAAUUUCAAAGUGUGGACUGGAAUUCCUCAAGAACUGUUUCAAGUCAUAACUUUUCACUUAAUGAUACUAAGAUGUCACUUGCCAUUUUCACUUUUUCUCUCGUGAAUGUACUGUGGAGUUUUCCAGAGGCUAUGUGAUGUAUGAGAGCACAAUAGAUUGAGUUCAGAAGCAGACAUGAGAAUCCAAUUGUCUUCUAUUAAGCUAGAAAUUAAAGAAAUUUCAAAAAACAUAAAACAACACCA